AGAUAUAUAAUCAUGGCAUACAUCAUACAAAAUCAGAUCGUCAUGCUUUUCAGUCAAAAUUAACCCUAGGGGUAUAACGGUAAUUUUGCACCUAGGGGUAUAACAGUAAUUUUCCAUACAUAGGGGUAUUAUAGUAAUUUAGCUACUUUUAGGGUUUUCAUGCAUAUCCUAACUAUUUACAUACUAUCAAAACACUUAUCGCGCAUACUUACCGAAUUGGGCCCAUUGGCCCAUGAACCCGAUCUUUGGCCCAUUAAGCCCAAAUUAUCAAAAUGUACGAAAUCGCGCGUAUUGCAGUUUAUUACUUUAGAUUACCAAAUAUACAAACCCAACUAUCUUACGAGCAUUCGCACACUCACAAAUUCCCAAAACACAGACUUUUCGGCAUUUCGACUUCUCGGCUUUUGCCAAUCUAGUCUAUGAGAGGGUUUCAGUUACACACCUGUUUGCGACGGUAUGCUGACGAGAUCCACACACAAACCGCCUACAAUUGGAUUACUAACACGUUAAUCUAACUAUUCAAAUACAAACUACAUAUUAACCCCUUACAAUAUUCGGCCAACCACACCUACAGAUCAUAGUAAGCUUAUAAGAAAUCAAUAAGCAACUCAUUAACAAAUUUUUAUCAAUGUUUACCACAUAAUCAUAAUUUCACUGCAAGCUGCCUUCCUAAGCAACAGUCACUAAAUUAUUUAUAACUGGAGCUAUGAAACUCCAAAUCAUGUUCUAUUAAUUUUUCCUGAAAAUAGACUCAUAUAUCUUCUAUCCAUAAAAUUUUAAGAAUUUUUGGUAUGGCCAAUCAAUACCAGAUUUUUCUUAAAGUUUCCCAUGUUUCACUGUUUGACUAAUCUGACCACUCUUCAUUAUGAAUCAAAUUUCUCAUUGUACAGAAUUCAAAAUAUCUUCUCGUUUAUUCCAUUUGAAACUAGACUCAUUAAGAUUUAAUUACAUAAUUUAUGCAGCUUCUAACUCAUCUCCCACAAUUUAUGGUGAUUUUCCAAAGUCACGUUAUUGCUGCUGUCCCAAACAGAUUUAUUACCAAAUAACUCUUUCACACCUAACUUGCAUGCUUGUUAUUUAAACAUGUAUAUCACCAAUCAAACAUCACAUAUCUAUGAUUUUACUUAAGUACAAUCUCUAUUUCAUCAUUUUAAAGCACAACAUGUUAGCCGAUUUUUCCCCUUAGCAUCUAAGGCACGUGCAUGCUCAUUUGUUUGGCUCAACUUCACCUAUCUUCCAUUUUUCAUCAAAAGAACAUGAAACAACAACAAUUUCCUUCAUUUUAAUUCAUGACUAAAUGCUCACAACACAACUAAAAACCAAAAUAUGCUUCAAGAGUUAAGGUAGAAUCAAGAAGAACUCAUGAACAUCAAGAUAGAAGCAAACUACCAUGAACUUACCUUCAAUUUUCUUCCCCAAGUGACCGAACAUUCAAGAGCUUUCUCAUCUCCUUUCUCUUCUCUAACUUUCGGCUAUGAUGAACAAAGAUGGACAAAACUUUGUUCUUUUCACCCCUUUUUCUUUUAAUAAAAUUUCAUAUUUCAUCCAUUUAAUUCUUUAAUACAAAAGACAUGAAAUGCCCAUCAUGGAACAUUUACUUAACCCAUUAUCAUGGAACAUUUACCUAACCCAUUAUGUAACACCCCGAACCCGAAACCGACACCGGAGUCGAACACGAGGUGUUAACUGGCUUUAACCUCUUACAAAAUUUAUUUUCCAGACACUGCCCAAUCUGUGUACUAGUCGUUUUAAAAAUCAUAUCUUGAGUUUCGUAACUUGAAAAUCAGUUUCGUAAUUUUUCCCAGAAACUAGACUCAUGUGCCCAUCUAUGUAUUUUUUUAUAGAAUUUUUGGUUGGGCCAAUUAGUACAGUUUAUUAGUCAAAGUCCCCCAAGUUGCAGGGGUCGACUACACUGACCUUUGCCCAUUACGACUUGGAUAUCUCCCUUCACGGGGCUUCAAUACUGUUUCCGUUUGUUUCUAUGAAAACUAGACUCAGAGAGGAAUCUGUACAUAUAUGGUACGACCCCUAAUUAUCUCUGGUUAAUUUAUAAUGAAUUUCCAAAGUCGGAGCAGGGAAUCCAGAAACCGUUCUGGCCCUGUCCCACUAAAAUCUGAUUAUCUCUUAAUAUACUGCCCAUAUGAUCUUUUCGUUACCUCCUCAUGAAAGCAGACUCAUCGAGCUUCGAUUACAUAAUUUAUUCAUCAAUUAAUUCCACUCCUACUAUUUUUAGUGAUUUUUCAAUCUCAUGACACUGCUGCUGCCAGCAUCUGUUACGAAAGUAACUAGGUCCAUUUCAUACCUACCCUUGAUCCAAUUCAAUCGAACAUUCGUGCCAUUUUCGCAUGGCUUAAAGUUUACAUGCCAUAAUUCAAACACAACGUACUAGCUUAUACAUGCCAAAAUGAUCUUCUAAACACACUAAGAAGAAAGUACCAAAACUUGCUAUCCGGUGUGAUGACUUCGAUGACGGCCCGACCCCGCAAAAAUAGAUGAGUCCAAGCAACCUAUAAUGGGUGACAAGGAAACAUCGAGUGAGUUUAUAACUCAGUAAGUCAUAAGCAAUGCACUACCAUCUAUCGACAACAUUAUCACAAGAGGAAACAAAAUAGAACGAGACAAUUUACUCCAUCCAUACCGAACCAUACCAUAGUUCCUCCAACCUCUCAAUUCAAUUUCAUAUCAAUUCAUGCAUUCACAUUCUAUAUACUCAUCAAUAGGACAUUGAAGCAAUUUCCUAAAUCAAUUUAUUUUCGUUACAAUCAAACGACUAUACGGCCUUUCACCCAUCCUACGAUAAAUUUUAUGUACGUGACUUCAAGUAUAUAUGUCACAUAGGUUCGAACUUACCGAGCUCAACACCAAGUAUAAGCAUAGCACCUAUUAACCACGUGCUCAAGACACUUACCCGACCCGCUGUCCGCGAUCGACUCAAUAGUGUCGCACACAUAGUGUCCAUAAUGAUUCACGAAUGUAUAUUGAGCCCGCACACUCAGUGCUAUACAAUCAACUCGCACACUUAGUGCCACGUAAUCAAAUCGCACACUUAGUGCUACAUAGUUAGACUCGCACACUUAGUGCCGCAUGGUCAAUUCGCACACUUAGUGCAUCAUAUUCAUUUCGCACACUUAGUGCAACAUAGUCGAAUCGCACACUUAGUGCUGUACAAUUUAAUCCCGCGCACUUAGCGCCAAUCUCAUGGUCAUAAAUGGUUAUCCCGCACGUUUAGUGCCGAGAUCAACAACUCAGUACAUCUUACCUCUUUUCAUUCAUUCAACAAUUUCAUCAUCACAUACGUACAUGCAUAUAUAUAUAUGUAUUUUUAUUCAUUCCAAUCAGCAUCAAUACAUACACAUUAUGACCAUUUGAAAUAAUACCCACUACAUGCUUAAUGACUUACUUUAUGUUGGGUAAAAUAAUUCCGAGUCGGCUACUCGAUGACCUUCGAUUUCCCCUUGUUGGACGCCUCUCCUUUAGGUUCUUGAGCUUAAAUAAUACAAAUAAAUUGACUUCAUCAUUUUAGGCAUCAAAAGAUGAACACAAGGCACUUAGCCCAUAUUUAUACAUUAGACAUUAAAGUCUCAUACAUGCAAAAAUCAUGCAUCAACACAACAUAUUAGCUAAUUUCUUGCCCUUGGCCGAAUAUGCAUGUCCAUUUUUGGGGUCGAUUUCAACACUUAAUACACACAUGUACACACUAGUAAAGCAUCCUCCCCCUUUUCAUCAAUUUAACACAUGCAUUGCUCAUUAACAUGCAAAGUUACAUUCGGCCUUAGCACACAUCUUGCUAGCCGAUUCUUCUCCAUUUAGCAACCAAUGCACAUAUGUGCUCACACAACAAAAAAAAAUGCUAAAAAGGAGGUUCAAGAAUCAUCAAGCCAUCAUCACAUGCAUCAUUAACAAGCUUCAUAUUUUGCAUGCAAUGGCAUUAACACAACCUCCACCUAGGCCGAAUCUUAACUCAUCCUCAUGCCUCAUCACCACAACAUCAAACAUCAACCAAGAAUGAUUCAUCCAUGGUCAAGUGCCAUUUCCAUCACAUAGCAAGAUUUAGACCAUGGGUUAGGUAGAACUCAAGCUAACAACUAAAACAUGCAUGCCUCUCAUGGAACAUCAUCAAACAUACCUUAGCCUAGCUACAUGCAUGGCCGAAUCUCUUCACCUUUCUUCUUCUUUCCUCCUUAAAAUUUUUGGCCAAGGAUGAACCAAAGGAUGAGAAAAUUUUUCUUUGUUUUUCUUUCUAGUUUUUUUGGCAAGCAUGAAGAUGAGAAAAGGAUGAACAAAAUUCCCCCUUUCUCUUGUUUAGCUCACAGCAAUGGGGGGACAAACACCACACACACAUUUUUUUUCUUUUGUUUUCCAUUUCUUUAUUACCCAUACUCCUUAUUUUAUUCUUCCACUAACAAAACAUGUUUCAUGACAUGUUUUGCCCAUCCUUCCUUGUCAUGGCCAGCCACUACUCAUUAGGGGGGGAAAUUUGACAUGCAAGUCCCCCCUUUGUCCACAUGCACUAGUAGGUCCUCACACAUUGACCUAUCACAUUUUAGAAUUUUCUCACAUAAGUCCUAUUGACUAAAUUCACAUGAAAUCAACCCAAUUGAAGCUUGAAAUUUUCACACAUUCAUAAUUACAUAUUCUACACAAUAAGUAUCACAUUCAAACAUUUCGGUGACUCGGUUUAGCGGUCCCGAAACCACUUCCCGACUAGGGUCAACUUUGGGCUGUCACAACUCUCCCCCACUUAAGAAAUUUUCGUCCCCGAAAAUCUUACCAGUAAAUAGGUUUGGGUAUCAUUCUUUCAUCGAGCUCUCGGUCUCCCAAGUAGCUUCCUCGAUCCCGAGUUUGAGCCAUAACACCUUUACUAGCGGAACUCUUUUGUUUCGCAACUCCUUCACUUCACGAGCUAGGAUACGCAUCGGUUCUUCUUCAUAGCUCAUGUCGACUUGAAUUUCAACCUCCGAUGGGCUAAUUAUGUGCGAUGGAUCAGAUCGAUAGCGUCGAAGCAUCGAAACAUGAAAGACGUCAUGAAUCUUUUCAAGCUCCGGGGGCAAAAUCAAUCUAUACGCAACCGGACCAACUCGUUCGGAGAUUUCGUACGGCCCAAUGAAUCUUGGGCUCAACUUGCCCUUACGGCCGAACCUGAGUAUCUUUUUCCAAGGUGAAACCUUAAGGAACACUUUGUCUCCCACCUGAUACUCGAUGUCUUUUUGUUUCAAAUCUGCGUACGAUUUCUGACGAUCCGUGGAUACCUUCAGACUUUCACGGAUUACCUUUACUUUCUGUUCGGCAUCUCUAAUCAAAUCAACUCCGAAAAUUUUGCUUUCACCGAGCUCGGUCCAAAACAAUGGUGUACGGCAUUUACGACCGUACAAAGCCUCAUAAGGUGCCAUCUUAAUACUUGAUUGAAAACUAUUGUUGUAAGCGAAUUCAAUCAAAGGUAAAUACCGUUCCCAUGAACUACUGAACUCGAGGAUGCAACAUCUCAACAUAUCCUCACGUAUCUGAAUUAUCCGCUCGGAUUGACCAUCGGUUUGGGGGUGAAAAGCAGUGCUAAAAUGCAGCUUAGUACCCAGAGCUUCUUGCAAUUUCUUCCAAAAUCGUGAGGUGAAUCUCGGAUCUCUAUCCGACACGAUAGAAACAGGUACCCCGUAUAAUCUCACAAUUUGAUAAACGUACAAUUCAGCUAGUUUAUCCAAUGAAAAAUCCGUACGUACGGGGAUGAAAUGAGCCGACUUAGUCAGUCUAUCAACAAUAACCCAUAUCGCAUCCUUCUUACUUGCUGACAAGGGCAGUCCGGACACAAAGUCCAUUGUGACUCGAUCCCAUUUCCACUCGGGUAUCAUGAUCGGCUGGAGUAAUCCUGAAAGCACUUGAUGUUCCGCUUUCACUUGUUGACAUAUUAAACAUCUCGAAACAAAGUCGGAGAUGUCCCAUUUCAUACCAUGCCACCAAAAUUGACGUUUCAAAUCGUUGUACAUUUUCGUACUUCCCGGGUGAAUUGACAUUCGGCUACAAUGGGCUUCGUUCAGAAUCAUCGGAAUGAGUUCCGAAUUCCUUGGAAUGCACAAACGACUUCUAAACCUCAAACAACCAUCAUCAUCAAUCUGAAACUCCGAUUCCUUGUUCGGAACACACUCAGCUCGUUUUGCAACCAAUUCAUCAUCGACUUUCUGAGCUUCACGAAUUUGAUGAGUCAAUAAUGGUUUGGCUUUUAAUUCAGCUACUAACACAUUGUCAGGUAGAACAGACAAGUGUACAUUCAUCGCUCGCAAAGCAAACAGUGGUUUCCGGCUUAAGGCGUCCGCAACCACAUUAGCCUUUCCCGGAUGGUAAUCAAUGACAAGCUCGUAAUCUUUCAACAACUCAAGCCAACGUCUUUGUCGCAGAUUCAAGUCUCGUUGAGUCAUCAAAUAUUUGAGACUUUUGUGAUCCGAAAACACAUGGCACUUCUCACCAAACAAAUAAUGUCGCCAUAUUUUCAAUGCAAACACAAUGGCGGCUAGUUCGAGAUCAUGGGUCGGAUAAUUUCUUUCGUGUGGCUUCAAUUGUCUCGACGCAUAGGCCACAACUCGACCUUCUUGCAUCAAUACGCAACCCAACCCGAGUAGGGAUGCGUCACUAUAAACAACAAACUCUUUACCCGAUUCGGGUUGCACCAAAAUUGGAGCUUCAGUCAAAUGAGUUUUUAGUUGGUUGAAACUUUUCUGACAUUUCUCCGUCCACUCGAACUUAACAUCCUUUUGAAGUAGCUUCGUCAUUGGUGUGGCUAUCAUCGAGAAACCUUUCACAAAUCAUCGGUAAUAACCGGCGAGCCCCAAAAAGCUCCGAACCUCAGUAAUACUUCUCGGAGGUUUUCAGUUAAGUAUGGCUGAGAUUUUGUUCGGGUCAACUCGAAUACCCGAUGCGGAUACCACAUGACCCAAGAAGCUAACCUCUCUUAACCAGAACUCACACUUACUGAACUUAGCAUAUAACUUCUUAUUCCGCAAAACUUGCAACACUAAUCUCAAGUGUUCAGCAUGUUCGAUCUCAUCUCUUGAAUAGACCAAGAUGUCAUCAAUGAACACAACUACGAACCGAUCCAAAUAUGGUCUGAAGAUCCGAUUCAUCAAAUCCAUAAAUACCGCAGGGGCAUUAGUGAGCCCAAACGGCAUCACUAAGAACUCGUAGUGACCAUAUCUCGUCCUGAAGGCAGUUUUGGGUAUGUCCGAUUCUCGAAUUCGCAACUGAUAAUAGCCCGAUCUCAGAUCUAUUUUUGAGAACAUUGAGGCUCCCGUCAGUUGGUCGAACAAAUCAUCGAUACGCGGUAACGGAUCCUUAUUCUUUAUCGUCACUUUAUUCAGUUGACGAUAGUCAAUGCACAACCUCAUGGUUCCGUCCUUCUUUUUCACGAACAAUACUGGUGCACCCCAGGGUGAGAAACUCGAUCGAGCGAAACCUCUAUCCGUCAAUUCUUGCAAUUGAGCUUUCAACUCUUUUAACUCGGUUAGUGCCAUACGAUACGGAGCGAUCGAAAUUGGCGUAGUUCCAGGUACAAGCUCAAUACCAAACUCUAUCUCCCGAACAGGUGGCAAACCCGGUAACUCUUUAGGAAAAACAUCCGGGUAUUCACGAACCACCGGCACCGAUUCAGGUUUCUUUUCUAACUCCUUGUCAUCAAGUACAUACGCGAGGUAUGCUUCGCACCCUUUCCUUACAUAUUUCUGGGCCAACAUUGCUGAUAUUACAGCUGGCAACCCCCUUAAGUCCGCAGACUCAACUCGGAUUAUUUCGUUAUUUGCGCACCUCAAAUCGAUAGUCUUGCUUUUUCAAUUCACAACCGCAUCAUGCGCGGUUAACCAAUCCAAACCAAAAAUAACAUCAAACUCGUCGAACGGCAAAAGCAUCAAAUCGGCCGGAAAACAGGAUUCUCGGAUUAUUAGAGGGCAUCUCUUACACACUUUAUCAACAAAUACGCAUUGACCCAAAGCGUUUGAUACUCGAAUUACAAGCUCAGUAGACUCAACAGGUAGAGUCUUACUGGUUGCUAAGGUUUCGCAUACAUAUGAAUGAGUAGAACCAGGGUCAAUCAAUGCAAUCACAUUAGUAUCAAAGAGAGUGAAGGUACCAGUGAUGACGUCAGGGAAGGAUGCCUCCUCUCGUGCGCGAAUGGCAUAUGCUCUAGCAGGAGUACGGUUCUCGGCUCGAGCAGCCGUAUCAGAGGCCCCUCUCUGACUACCACCAGCAUUGCCCGUAUUUCCAGAUGGUCUACCUCGAGCAGUGGUAGCACCCGGUUUCCCACUCUGAUUUACAUUCUGUUCAGACAACCUCGGGCAAUCUUUAAUGAAGUGGUCAACCGAUCCGCACUUGUAACAGGAGCGGUCAGGGAAUCUACAACUCCCCGAAUGCCAUUUACCGCAAUAUCGACAUUUCGUUCUGUCUCGACGUUCAUUCCCAACACUGGCGACCGAAGUGCCUCGUGUACCCAAAGGGGGUCGAUCACGAUCUCAUCUAAAAAGGCCCGAAGUGCCUCUCGACCAGCCCACAUCAUCUCGAAAUUUCUUCGAUGCCUGUUGAAGAGACUUUCCCGAAGAUAUUUUACGAAACUCUCCAGUUCCCUCAUCAACUUUUUGUUUUUCUUUUCUAAGCUCUUCGGCUUUACAAGCUCACUCGACAAGUACCACGAACUCUCGUAUUUCAAGAACGCCAACGAACAUUUUUAUAUCUUCAUUCAGCCCAUCCUCGAAGCGUUACACACAAUAGCCUCGGAUGAAACACAUUCCCAAGCGUAUCUACUAAGUCUAACAAAUUCAUGUUCGUAUUCAGAUACAGUCAUACGGCCUUGCUUGAGUUCUAAGAACUCCUUACGCUUCUGAUCAAUGAACCGUUGGCUAAUAAAUUUCUUUCGGAAUUCCGUUUGAAAGAAGUCCCAAGUUACUCGCUCGUUCGGGACUAUGGAAAUCAAGGUCCUCCACCAAUAGUAGGCUGAGUCUCGCAAGAAAGAUACAGCACAUUUUAGACAUUCGUCAGGUGUGCAUGACAAUUCAUCGAACACCCGAAUGGUGUUAUCAAGCCAGAACUCGGCCCUUUCGGCGUCAUCAGUUACUAUGGCCUUGAACUCCUCGGCCCCACGCUUCCUAAUCAAGUCUACAGGUGCCUUACUCAGCCUCACAGGAUCAGCGACUGAUGGCAUUACAGGCUCUUGGGGUGGAUUAUUCAAAUUUGGGAAUUGUUGGACAGCCGGGUUGGUUCGGGCAUAUUGCGCGACCCACUCAUUCAUCAUGGUAAAGAAGGCUUGUUUAGCCCCCUCACCUUGAUCAUUCGCAGAUGACUGAGGUUCAACAGGCGGCGUCCCUUGUGCAGGAGCAGCCGCUACGCUCCCAACGUCAUCCGCCAGGGUUCUUUCUACACCGGGAUCCAUUUACUAAUCAAAACAAAAACAUUUCAACCGUCGGAAGUCAUCACCCUUUUAAACAUUAACAUUAAGGCAUGUAUAGCUAGACUCAUACGUGCUAUGGUAGUCCUAGAACCGACUAAACCAUAGCUCUGAUACCAAUAAAAUGUAACACCCCGAACCCGAAACCGACACCGGAGUCGAACACGAGGUGUUAACUGGCUUUAACCUCUUACAAAAUUUAUUUUCCAGACACAGCCCAAUCUGUGUACUAGUCGUUUUAAAAAUCAUAUCUUGAGUUUCGUAACUCGAAAAUCAGUUUCGUAAUUUUUCCCAGAAACUAGACUCAUGUUCCCAUCUAUGUAUUUUUUUAUAGAAUUUUUGGUUGGGCCAAUUAGUACAGUUUAUUAGUCAAAGUCCCCCAAGUUGCAGGGGUCGACUACACUGACCUUUGCCCAUUACGACUUGGAUAUCUCCCUGCACGGGGCUUCAAUACUGUUGCCGUUUGUUUCUAUGAAAACUAGACUCAGAGAGGAAUCUGUACAUAUAUGGUACGACCCCUAAUUAUCUCUGGUUAAUUUAUAAUGAAUUUCCAAAGUCGGAGCAGGGAAUCCAGAAACCGUUCUGGCCCUGUCCCACUAAAAUCUGAUUAUCUCUUAAUAUACUGCCCAUAUGAUCUUUUCGUUACCUCCUCAUGAAAGCAGACUCAUCGAGCUUCGAUUACAUAAUUUAUUCAUCAAUUAAUUCCACUCCUACUAUUUUUAGUGAUUUUUCAAUCUCAUGACACUGCUGCUGCCAGCAUCUGUUACGAAAGUAACUAGGUCCAUUUCAUACCUACCCUUGAUCCAAUUCAAUCGAACAUUCGUGCCAUUUUCGCAUGGCUUAAAGUUUACAUGCCAUAAUUCAAACACAACGUACUAGCUUAUACAUGCCAAAAUGAUCUUCUAAACACACUAAGAAGAAAGUACCAAAACUUGCUAUCCGGUGUGAUGACUUCGAUGACGGCCCGACCCCGCAAAAAUAGAUGAGUCCAAGCAACCUAUAAUGGGUGACAAGGAAACAUCGAGUGAGUUUAUAACUCAGUAAGUCAUAAGCAAUGCACUACCAUCUAUCGACAACAUUAUCACAAGAGGAAACAAAAUAGAACGAGACAAUUUACUCCAUCCAUACCGAACCAUACCAUAGUUCCUCCAACCUCUCAAUUCAAUUUCAUAUCAAUUCAUGCAUUCACAUUCUAUAUACUCAUCAAUAGGACAUUGAAGCAAUUUCCUAAAUCAAUUUAUUUUCGUUACAAUCAAACGACUAUACGGCCUUUCACCCAUCCUACGAUAAAUUUUAUGUACGUGACUUCAAGUAUAUAUGUCACAUAGGUUCGAACUUACCGAGCUCAACACCAAGUAUAAGCAUAGCACCUAUUAACCACGUGCUCAAGACACUUACCCGACCCGCUGUCCGCGAUCGACUCAAUAGUGUCGCACACAUAGUGUCCAUAAUGAUUCACGAAUGUAUAUUGAGCCCGCACACUCAGUGCUAUACAAUCAACUCGCACACUUAGUGCCACGUAAUCAAAUCGCACACUUAGUGCUACAUAGUUAGACUCGCACACUUAGUGCCGCAUGGUCAAUUCGCACACUUAGUGCAUCAUAUUCAUUUCGCACACUUAGUGCAACAUAGUCGAAUCGCACACUUAGUGCUGUACAAUUUAAUCCCGCGCACUUAGCGCCAAUCUCAUGGUCAUAAAUGGUUAUCCCGCACGUUUAGUGCCGAGAUCAACAACUCAGUACAUCUUACCUCUUUUCAUUCAUUCAACAAUUUCAUCAUCACAUACGUACAUGCAUAUAUAUAUAUGUAUUUUUAUUCAUUCCAAUCAGCAUCAAUACAUACACAUUAUGACCAUUUGAAAUAAUACCCACUACAUGCUUAAUGACUUACUUUAUGUUGGGUAAAAUAAUUCCGAGUCGGCUACUCGAUGACCUUCGAUUUCCCCUUGUUGGACGCCUCUCCUUUAGGUUCUUGAGCUUAAAUAAUACAAAUAAAUUGACUUCAUCAUUUUAGGCAUCAAAAGAUGAACACAAGGCACUUAGCCCAUAUUUAUACAUUAGACAUUAAAGUCUCAUACAUGCAAAAAUCAUGCAUCAACACAACAUAUUAGCUAAUUUCUUGCCCUUGGCCGAAUAUGCAUGUCCAUUUUUGGGGUCGAUUUCAACACUUAAUACACACAUGUACACACUAGUAAAGCAUCCUCCCCCUUUUCAUCAAUUUAACACAUGCAUUGCUCAUUAACAUGCAAAGUUACAUUCGGCCUUAGCACACAUCUUGCUAGCCGAUUCUUCUCCAUUUAGCAACCAAUGCACAUAUGUGCUCACACAACAAAAAAAAAUGCUAAAAAGGAGGUUCAAGAAUCAUCAAGCCAUCAUCACAUGCAUCAUUAACAAGCUUCAUAUUUUGCAUGCAAUGGCAUUAACACAACCUCCACCUAGGCCGAAUCUUAACUCAUCCUCAUGCCUCAUCACCACAACAUCAAACAUCAACCAAGAAUGAUUCAUCCAUGGUCAAGUGCCAUUUCCAUCACAUAGCAAGAUUUAGACCAUGGGUUAGGUAGAACUCAAGCUAACAACUAAAACAUGCAUGCCUCUCAUGGAACAUCAUCAAACAUACCUUAGCCUAGCUACAUGCAUGGCCGAAUCUCUUCACCUUUCUUCUUCUUUCCUCCUUAAAAUUUUUGGCCAAGGAUGAACCAAAGGAUGAGAAAAUUUUUCUUUGUUUUUCUUUCUAGUUUUUUUGGCAAGCAUGAAGAUGAGAAAAGGAUGAACAAAAUUCCCCCUUUCUCUUGUUUAGCUCACGGCAAUGGGGGGACAAACACCACACACACAUUUUUUUUCUUUUGUUUUCCAUUUCUUUAUUACCCAUACUCCUUAUUUUAUUCUUCCACUAACAAAACAUGUUUCAUGACAUGUUUUGCCCAUCCUUCCUUGUCAUGGCCAGCCACUACUCAUUAGGGGGGGAAAUUUGACAUGCAAGUCCCCCCUUUGUCCACAUGCACUAGUAGGUCCUCACACAUUGACCUAUCACAUUUUAGAAUUUUCUCACAUAAGUCCUAUUGACUAAAUUCACAUGAAAUCAACCCAAUUGAAGCUUGAAAUUUUCACACAUUCAUAAUUACAUAUUCUACACAAUAAGUAUCACAUUCAAACAUUUCGGUGACUCGGUUUAGCGGUCCCGAAACCACUUCCCGACUAGGGUCAACUUUGGGCUGUCACACAUUAUCAUGGAAUAUUUACCUAAUCCAUUAUCAUGGAACAUUUACCUAACCCAUUAUCAAUUUGUACCAUGAAUUAUGUAUAUCAAGUGCUCAUAUUGUCUACAACAACAUGAUAGCUGGCCACUUCAUGUAAAAUAGGAGGUUUGUCAUGCAAAUCCUCCUGUUUUGCACUCCUAUUUAUUUGACCACUUCAAUUUAGCCUAUAGCAUUUUCAAACAUUUUCACAUUGGUCCUAUUUCAUAAUUUCACCCCCUUUUUCUUAUGGAACAAAAAUUAACUAAAAUUGCCGGGUUCUAUCUUAAGCUUGGGCCUUCUAGAGGCCCACUAACAUAAUUAAACCUAUGCCAACAUUCACAGAAUUCCCGAAAAUUGGGGCGUUACAACUCUACCCUCCUUAAAGAAAUUUCGCCCUCGAAAUUUACCUAAUCCAACUAGUUGAGGGUAUUGUUGAUGCAUAGUCUCUUCUGAUUCCCAAGUAGCUUCUUCCCUUCCAUGAUUAUGCCAAAGUACUUUCACUAACGGGACAGAUUUCCUUCUGAGAACCUUAACAUCUCGAGCCAAUAUUUGCACAGGCUCCUCCUCAAAGGUCAAAUCAGUCUGAACUUCAAUUUCUGCAACUGGCAGGACAUGAGCAGGGUCAGCACGAUAACGCCUUAACAUGGAGACGUGAAAAACAUCGUGAAUAAUGUCUAACUCUGGAGGCAAUUCCAAUGAUAAGCCACUAGGCCUACUCGCUUCAAAACCCGAUAAGGCCCAAUGAACCUUGGACUCAACUUGCCCUUCUUACAGAACCUUAAUCUCUUAUUCCAAGGAGAAACCUUUAAGAAGACCAUAUCACCUACUGAGUACUCAAUCUCAUUACGCUUCAAAUCUGCAUACAACUUUUGCCUAUCAGAUGCUUCUUUUAACUGGUCCCUAAUUAUUCUGACCUUAUCCUCAGUAUCAGCUACCAACUCUGGUCCAAGAACUUGUCGCUCUCCUAGUUUAGUCCAACAACUAGGUGUACGACACCUUCGUCCAUACAGUGCUUCAUACGGUGCAAUUCGAAUACUCGCCUGGUAACUGUUAUUGUAUAGAAAUCCUACCAACGGCAAGUAAUCCUCCCAACUACCUCGAAAGUCAAUCACGCAUCCCCUCAACAUGUCCUCUAGAAUUUGAAUAACCCUUUUCGAUUGACCAUCAGUCUGGGGAUGGAAAGCUGUACUAAAAUUCAAUCGCGUCCCCAACGCCUCAUGCAACCUUUCCAAAACCAAGAUGUAAAUCUGGGAUCCCCAUCAGAAAUAAUUGAAACUAGGACUCCAUGAAGUCACACAAUCUCUGCCACAUACAACUUGGCUAACUUUUGAAGUGAAAAGUCAGUAUGAACCGGUAUCAAAUGGGCCAAUUUGGUCAACCUAUCCACAAUCACCAACACCGAGUCUUUCUUUGAUGGUGUCAAGGGCAGCCCACUCACAAAGUCCAUGGUUACCCUCUCCCACUUCCAAAGUGGUAUCUUCACUGACUGUAACAGUCCAGAAGGUAAUUGAUGCUCAGCUUUCACUUGCUGGCAUGUCAGACAUUUCCCUACAAACUCCGUUACUUCUCGUUUAAGUCCAGGCCACCAGUACAAUUCUCGUAAGUCGUGAUACAACUUGUUCCCUCCAGAGUGCAUGGCACAAAGUCCUCCAUGAGCUUCCUUCAAUAUUGUCUGCCUCAAAUCAAAUUCCUUCGGAACACAAAUUCUUCCUCAGAAACACAGAACUCCUUCGCCAUUUAACCCAAACUCAGAAGUUUCCCCUUCCUUAACUUGUUGAAAACGAGCGACCAAAGACUCAUCGUUCAACUGCUUUUCCAUAAUCUGAUCCACCCAGGUUGGCCUCACUUGCAACUCAGCCAACAGACUUCUAUCAUCAUACAGACUCAGACGAGCAAACAUUGCUCUCAGAUCAGAUACAGUUCUACGACUUAGAGCAUCGGCUACCACAUUAGUCUUGCCUGGUGAUACUCGAUCGAAUAAUCAUAAUCCUUAAGCAACUCAAUUCAUCUCCUUUGCCUAAGGUUCAGCUCCUUCUGAGUCAACUAAUACUUAAGACCCUUGUGGUCUGUGUAUAUAAUACACCUCUCCCCGUACAAGUAAUGUCUCCAAAUCUUAAGUGCAAAUAUCACUGCCGCCAACUCCAAAUCAUGAGUAAGAUAGUUCCCUUCAUGAGGUUUAAGCUGUCGUGAUGCAUAUGCAACCAACUUACCCUCCUGCAUUAACACGUAGCCCAAGCCUACAUGUGAUGCGUCACUGUACACAGUAAAAUUCUUCCCAGACUCCACCAGAAUUAACACAGAUGCUUCAGUCAGAACUUUCUUCAACUUCUCAAAAGCCUCCUGCUGGGUCUCAGUCCAUACAAACGGUAUCCCUUUCCUUAUGUGUUUUGUCAGAGGUGCUGCCAUCACAGAAAAACCUUCCACAAACCUUCUGUAGUAUCCUACCAACCCUAGGAAACUUUGAAUUUCUGACACCGUCCUAGGUGCCUUCCAGUCCAAAAUUGCUUCAAUCUUUCGAGGGUCCACCUUAAUCCCUUCGGCAGAGACCACAUGUCCUAAGAAGGUUACCUCUCUCAACCAAAAUUCACACUUGCUGAACUUCGUAAAGAGUUCCUUCUCCCUUAACUCUCGCAGCACUAUACAGAGAUGCUCAUCAUGUUUCGCUUCAGUUUCAAAAUAUACCAAGAUAUCGUCAAUAAAGACGACUAAGAACUGAUCUAAAAAUGGUUGGAACACACGAUUCAUCAGAUCCACAAACGCUGCAGGAGCGUUCGUCAGUCCAAAUGGCAUAACCAAAAACUCGUAAUGACCAUACCGAGUCCUGAAUACUGUCUUAUAGAUAUCAGCCUCCUUGACCCUUAACUGAUGAUAUCCAGAUCGAAGGUCAAUCUUGGAAAAUACAGAAGCUCCUCUAAGCUGGUGGAACAGAUCGUCAAUCCUUGGCAGUGGAUACUUAUUCUUAAUCGUCAGUUUGUUCAACUAGAGAUAAUCAAUGCACAUCCGCAUCGUACCAUCCUUCUUUUUCAUGAAUAGAACCGGUGCUCCCCAUGGAGACACGCUUGGCCUAAUGAAUCCCUUAUCCAACAACUCUUGAAUUUGAGCCUUUAACUCCACUAACACUUUCGGUGCCAUCCUAUACGGUGCGAUGGACACGGGCGCCGUUCCAGGCAACAAAUCUAUUCCAAACUCAACUUCUCGGUUCGGAGGAAAUCUUGGAAGCUCCUCCGGAAAAACAUCUUCGAACUCCUUUACGGUCCUAACCUUAUCCACUGUCAGUCCCUCCUCUUUUGACUGACGUACAAAUGCCAAAUAGGCCUCACAACCUUUCUGAAUCCACUUUUCGGCUCUUAAAGCCGUCACCACAUUGGACAAAUAAUCCCUUCGCUCACCUAUCACUAUAACAUCAUCAUCCUUUGUGGUCCUUAACACCAUUCAUUUAGCAGCACAAUCCAGGGUCGCCUUAUGCUUAACAAGCCAGUCCAUUCCCAAAAUGAGAUCAAACUCUCUGAACGGUAACUCCAUCAGAUCUCCAGGGAAAAUUUUACCUUGAGUUUCUAAGGGUACAUCCCUAUACAGUUUGUCUACCCUAACCGAGUGACCCAAAGGACUUAGUACAGAUACCCCACUCACAAUCUCCUCAGAGUGCAAACCCAACGACCCAGAUAUGGCACAUGCAACAUAGGAAUGAGUAGAUCCAACAUCCACCAAAGUAGUAUAUGACAUGCUAGAAAACAAAAACGUACCACUAAUGAUGUCUGGUGCAUCGCCCUCUUCUCGACGGUGAGCUGCAUAUACCAAUACUGGCUGUCGAGCUUCAGCAUUCCCAGCAACCUUACCAGGUGUCCCUCGUCCUCGACCAUUUACAUUUUCUCCCCUACCUUAUCCACGUCCUCUCGGGGGUUGUGGUCCACCUCUUACGGGUUGACCAACUUGAAUCUGAUCAGCUCUCUGAGGACAGUCCUUAACUCUAUGCUCUAUAGAUCCGCAUCGGAAACAACCACUGGAACUUUUCCUACACUCGCACAGUCUCCACAAAUUUGUGGUCUAACAACAUUCAUCGGCACUGCUCGAACUGGUUCCUCCACUCUUGCUCUCUUAACAUUCCUAUUAGCACCACUAGAGGGUCCUGAAUCCCUCCGAAAACGGUUUUGAUCCUUCUCCCGAUUCUACUUUUCAGCACGCUUUACCUUUUCAGCUAUCUUAGCCUUCUCCACCAAAAUCGCAAAGUCUCGCUCCCUCUGCGGAGCAAUCAACACCCUAAGAUCAUCUCUAAGACCAUCCUCGAAGCGCACAAUUCGUUCAUAUUUCGUAGCGACUAUGCCCACGGCAUACCGGCUCAGCUUCAGAAACUCGGCCUCGUACUCAGUAACCGUUUUACCUCCUUGCGCCAAAUUCAAGAAUUCCUUUCUGCGGGCGUCCACAUAACUCGCCCCAACACACUUCCCUUUAAAGGCCAUCUUAAACAGUUCCCAAGUUAACCUAUUAGCCAGGAUCCCUUCUCUCACAGUAAGCCACCAUUGAUAGGCCUCGUCCCGCAAAAAUGAUACAACUCCCUUCAGCUUCUGCUCCACAGAGUAGUCCAAGUCAUCCAUAAUCCAUUCUGUGUCCUCCAACCAAUAUUCUGCCACAUUCGGGGCUAUACCAGACACACCCCUAAAGAUCACCGCUCUGUUAGCCCGAAGUCGUUCAGAAAUAGAUCCCCGAACUCUAUUGACCGUACUUACCCCGGCAACCUUUUCCAGAAUACGAAGCAUUGCCUGUGACAGGUCAUCAUCCUCGACACCGUGGUCAUGAGACUCUACCUCUGUUGCCGGUGGUACCGGUGCAUCCACCGUCGGCAUAUGUCUCGAAGACGAAGAUCUCGCUCGAGCACUUCCUCGGCUCCGUCCAUGGCCUCUUAUACUCAUAUCGUAUUAUCUUGAUUAUGAAUUUUUAUGCAUCAAUUAAUAUUCCAGUGUUUAUUACAGAUGUUUCGUGAAUCAGACAGAAAUUCAGAGUUUAUUUUCGCAGAAUCGAAGUCUAGCUACAGUUUCAGUCUCUUAUCAAAUUUUCCUAUGGUUUCAGUAUCGUCAUAUCUAGAAUAUCCUAAUAGGGUUUCAGUACAGACAGAUAAUUCAGAAGAAUACUCAGAAAAGUUCAGAGUAAUACUUACAGGCUUGAGCCGGAGAUUCGGAAUGCCACCUUCUAAAGAUCUAAAUUUUGAAAAUCGAGUUUUUCGUAUUCUUAUAAAAUUUUGCUGUCGAAAAUCUUUAUUUUUGUAAACCCAUUCCACAGCCGAGUUGUUGCAACUUAGGCUCUGAUACCACUAAAUGUAACACCCCUUACCCAGCCUAGACGUUAUGACCGGAUCCGACAUGCCACAUCCAAGCGUUUAAAACAUUUUAUAUUGUUGAUCCAGAAAAACUUACUUAGUGUUUUAAAAGAUAAUUUCAUUAUAGGUUAAAGUGAAUGGAAGCUGUGCACCAGGUAGGAAAGUGAAAAAGAGGUAGUGAGUCCAUCGGACUGUUCAAGUACCAAGCUCCCUUCGGAUCCAAUCCUAGACAUGCAUACCGCCAUUGCCACACCUUAACGUCAUGGAUAUUUCUAGGAAACCGAUUUGAUUAAGUCAUUUUUAGGAAAAGUGAUUAAUUUUGGAAAAUACUUUCAUUGCGGAAGCUUUGCUUGUUGUCGUGUUAUUUUCAAAUCAAUUGUUGUUUUUUGAAAACGCGCCCUAAAGCUAUCCAAUUUCAACAGUUAAAAUAAGUAAUACCUAUCUUAGAAAUACAUAUUAAAACCAUCAAAAAUAAUUAAGCGGCCUUAUUACAUUUAAAAACCUAAAACUUCAAACGUAAAUAAAAGAAUGUCCAGUUCACCAGAAGAAAAUCAAACUUUCAGAACGGGUGGCCACUCCAAAUUCCCUCACAGCUCCAAGUGCACUAUGAUUGGGGAUUACCUGCGUUGAUGAAAAUAAAAGGGGUGAGUUUGGGGAAACUCAGUGUGUAAAAUAACCCAACCAUAGUCUAAAUCAACUCAACCCAUAGAAACAGAAUAAGUUGGCCUUAGCCCAGAAUAGAAAUUCAGAAUAAAGCCCAUAGGCCCAUAACAGAACAGAACAGAUAUUACAUGUUUAUGCAGAAACCCAACCCAGAUUCAUCCAUAACAUCCCAUACCAGCCUUACACCAUGUGGGGAGACUACUCGACCCACCCAACCGCUACACACCACAGAAAUCGUAGCGAGGCUGCCAGAUAUUGUGACGAAGUCACCAGAUACAGAUAUUGUGAUAGAGCCACCAGAACAAAUAUAUGUGGCAGAGCCACCAAAUCAGAUAAUUGUGGCAGAGCCACCAGAUAAAUAAUUGUGGCAUAGCCACCAGGACGCUUCCUCCAUAAUAUAACUCAUGUCCCCAUGCAACAGAUAUAUAAUCAUGGCAUACAUCAUACAGAAUCAGAUCGUCAUGCUUUUCAGUCAAAAUUAACCCUAGGGGUAUAACGGUAAUUUUGCACCUAGAGGUAUAACAGUAAUUUUCCAUACAUAGGGGUAUUAUAGUAAUUUAGCUACUUUUAGGGUUUUCAUGCAUAUCCUAACUAUUUACGUACUAUCAGAACACUUACCGC
rnacentral:lncRNA from 1 species